rnacentral:rRNA from 1 species
UACGGGGGGGGGCAAGCGUUGUUCGGAAUUACUGGGCGUAAAGGGCUCGUAGGUGGCCAACUAAGUCAGACGUGAAAUCCCUCGGCUUAACCGGGGAACUGCGUCUGAUACUGGAUGGCUUGAGAUUGGGAGAGGGAUGCGGAAUUCCAGGUGUAGCGGUGAAAUGCGUAGAUAUCUGGAGGAACACCGGUGGCGAAGGCGGGAUCCUGGGCCAGUACUGACGCUGAGGAGCGAAAGCGUGGGGAGCAAACAGG